rnacentral:rRNA from 1 species
UACGGGGGGGGCAAGCGUUGUUCGGAAUUACUGGGCGUAAAGGGCUCGUAGGCGGCCAACUAAGUCAUACGUGAAAUCCCUCGGCUUAACCGGGGAACUGCGUCUGAUACUGGAUGGCUUGAGUUCGGGAGAGGGAUGCGGAAUUCCAGGUGUAGCGGUGAAAUGCGUAGAUAUCUGGAGGAACACCGGUGGCGAAGGCGGGUCUCUGGGCCGACACUGACGCUGAGGCGCGAAAGCUAGGGGAGCAAACGGG